rnacentral:rRNA from 1 species
AAUUACUGGGCGUAAAAGCGAGCGUAGGUGGCUUGAUAAGUCAGAUGUGAAAGCCCCGGGCUUAACCUGGGAACGGCAUCUGAUACUGUUAGGCUAGAGUAGGUGAGAGGAAGGUAGAAUUCCAGGUGUAGCGGUGAAAUGCGUAGAGAUCUGGAGGAAUACCGAUGGCGAAGGCAGCCUUCUGGCAUCAUACUGACACUGAGGUUCGAAAGCGUGGGUAGCAAACAGGAUUAGAUACCCUGGUAGUCCACGCCGUAAACGAUGUCUACUAGUCGUUGGGUCCCUUGAGGACUUAGUGACGCAGCUAACGCAAUAAGUAGACCGCCUGGGGAGUACGGCCGCAAGGUUAAAACUCAAAUGAAUUGACGGGGGCCCGCACAAGCGGUGGAGCAUGUGGUUUAAUUCGAUGCAACGCGAAGAACCUUACCUGGUCUUGACAUAUCUAGAAUCCUGCAGAGAUGCGGGAGUGCCUUCGGGAAUUAGAAUACAGGUGCUGCAUGGCUGUCGUCAGCUCGUGUCGUGAGAUGUUGGGUUAAGUCCCGCAACGAGCGCAACCCUUGUCCUUAGUUACCAGCGGUUUGGCCGGGAACUCUAAGGAUACUGCCAGUGACAAACUGGAGGAAGGCGGGGACGACGUCAAGUCAUCAUGGCCCUUACGACCAGGGCUACACACGUGCUACAAUGGUAGGUACAGAGGGCAGCUACACAGCGAUGUGAUGCGAAUCUCAAAAAGCCUAUCGUAGUCCAGAUUGGAGUCUGCAACUCGACUCCAUGAAGUAGGAAUCGCUAGUAAUCGCGGAUCAGAAUGCCGCGGUGAAUACGUUCCCGGGCCUUGUACACACCGCCCGUCACACCAUGGGAGUUGAUUGCACCAGAAGUGGGUAGCCUAACCUUUUAGGAUGGCGC